rnacentral:lncRNA from 1 species
UCACACGUGAGGAAAGCUGUGCAGUGCAUCACCCACUGCCUCCCUCUUUUCUUUUCUCCUGAUCCAAUACAGCUCCAUAAAACCCACAGGGCCUGCUCAACCUCUACAACUGGGCUUAAACCUAGCUUGGACUCGGUGCUGUCCUGGCACAAACCUCAGCCCAAGGCCCCACCAAACGCCCCACACCUGGAGCUGCUUCAACAGCACCACAUGGGCACCGAGUGCACCCCACUCUGCUGCAGCCACCACGUUGACCUCAUUCUGUUUGCUUUUUUCAAGCCUGAAACAAAAAGGCAAGAGAGAAAAAAAAAAAAAAAAAAACCAAAAGGACCUCAAGCCAGGGGUGCAUAACAUUGCCAACACACAUUUGCCUCUAUAAUCUUCUCUUUCUCCUCCCUGGGGUGCCACUCUGUCCUGUUGCUCUCACAGCUCACACCUAUCCCACCACCACCAGCCCUGUGCUUUGCCAGCACGGCUCCAGGCUCUGAGCAGGGCCACGUGGGGCAGAGGGAUGGGGCUCCAGCCAUGCUAUGCAGCUCCCACCACACUCUAUUCACCACCGCAGGCAUCCUUGGCAGAGAGGACAGAGCAGGAGGAGAGAAACUGCCUGCAAAGCCUCCAAGGCUGCUGCCCUCCAUUGCAGCCACACUCCCAACUCAACCACUUAAUUAAGAACUCUAACACACACACCUAACUAGACUGGGUAUCAGCUUUUGCCACUUCCCCCUCUGCACCUUCCCUUACAGACACCUGAAGAACACAACAUGAUGACACCUCACAACUCCUCUCAGUGCUCCUCGCUUCCCUCAGGGCCACUGUGCUGCACGGAGGGAUGCAGCACUGCAGUGACUGCAAGCAGGGAUGGUUCUGAGCAGCUGAGAGUUAAGGCAGCAAACUGGCUUACAAAAAGCAAAUGUGCAACCAAAUCCACCAAAGGUCUGCCUGCAUGGCCUGGGCUACCAACAUCUCACGUUCUUCUUGGUUGUGUUGUGUGUUUGCUAUAAGUACUCAUAUAACUAUGUGGAUUCUGGUGCUCCCAGCUCUAUGGUACAGUGAAGUUCAAUCCAAUUAACCAAAAGAAAAAAAGAAAAUAGGGGGAAAAAAAAACACAGCCCGUGAGUGUGGGCUACCCGGCCAACUUGCUGGCAACAAGUGAGGAUUUCCUCUGCGGGAGGUCCUGAGGCUUGGGGAUGUGGUCUCCUGUCACCAGGUUCUUGUCCGGCCCCGCAGUCGGCAGCUGUUUGUUCUUCAUCUUCGCCUUGGCCAUGUUGUAGUCACCAGAAUCAAAGUAUUUUUGCCCUUUCUGCAGCCUCUUCAUGAGAAAGUCGGAGCCGCCGGGCUUCUGGCCCAGGUUGGGGUAUUUGGCCUUCAGCUUCGCCUCCUCGGCCCGCUCCGGGAUGACGGUUUCCUUCUCCUGCGAGUCCUGUUUCUCCUGCCCGGAGUCCUCCGCGCGGGCGCCGGUACCCAACGGGGCGGCCAUGGCGGGGAGAGGCGGCCCUGCGGCUCCGCGCUGCCUCCGCGCUCCCUGCGCGUCGAUCGGCCCUGCGCUCUGCUCCAAAAUGGCCGCUACCGCCCCCUGACGCCCCGGCUGCGUGACGGACAGGUACCCACCCAAUGGGCGCAGGAGGAGGCCGUGGUGACGUCACGCACGACCAAUGAGGGCCCGCAGAGGGCGGGGGAAAGGGCCGGGUUUGGCCGCCCUGGGUGAAGCUACCGGAACCAAUGGGAAGUGAGAUAGCACCUUGUGGGCGGGAAAGAGUGCGGGGCGACUGAACUUGAUGGACAGUGAGAAGAACCAAUAGGCAAAGCGACAGGGAGGAGGGGCGUGGCCGCAGCCUGGGCGCUGGGAAGGCCCUGGGAGAGGCCGCCCCCUGGUGGGCAGUAGGGGCACUGCAGAACCCGGAGCCCCUCUACUCCCAGCGCCCCUCCGGUCCUCACCCCGACCACACGUUAUGACAGCCCCGACUGUUCCCAUAGCACCGCGAGGCC